rnacentral:rRNA from 1 species
GAUGAACGCUGGCGGCGUGCCUAAUACAUGCAAGUCGAACGAACAGACGCUGCUCUUGCUUCUCUGAUGUUAGCCGCGCACGGGUGAGUCACACGUGGAUACCCUCCCUAUCAUACUGGUAUCACUUCGGGACUCCGGCUCUUAUCCCGUAUAAUCUUUUGCUCCGCAUUGUUCAUAAGUGAAAUACGGUCCUUCUGUCUCUUCUCGCUGUAUCCUGGCUUCAUUAGCUAGUUGGUAAGGUAACGGCUUACCAAGGCAACGAUGCAUAGCCGACCUGCGAGGGGGAUCGGCCACAAUGGAACUGAGACACGGUCCAGACUACUAAGGGAGGCAGCAGUAGGGAAUCUUCAGCAACGGGAGAAAGCCUGAAGGAGCAACGCCGCGUGAGUGAUGAAGGUCUUCGGAUCGUAAAACGCUGUUAUUAGGGAAGAACAUAUGUGUAAGGAACUGUGCACAUCGUGACGGUACCUAAUCAGAAAGCCACGGCUAACUACGUG